UUCCGCCUCGAAACUUCUGGACGGUUCACGGGUUCGGCUGCCUCUCCCUCUUCUCUUCUCCUUCCUCUCAAAAUCGUGAAAGGCUUUCGGCCGCGAGAGCUUAGGGUUUGCCAUUUGUGUUUUGCUUCUAAUAUCUACUUCUUCUUCUCCUCGUACAGUCAGCGCUGGCUCGAUUAUGCGGUAUUCAUGCUUGGUCGCUGUUUGGCUACUGAGGACUUCUCUAUCAAAACGAUCACAAUCACAGAAACAGUCUAUCAUAUGGUCAAAUUCUUAUGAAAAAGAAGAGUUCUUUCACAAUAGACCAAAUACUGAAGUUUCCAAUAUUACCUCAGUUACAGAGCAGGUCCGAGCUUUUGGUUGCUACAGGCAUGAGAAAUAUGCCAUCCAGUACAGAGCCAUGUUUGUUGUAAACUGCACAAUUAGAAAUUAUCAAUCUUAAGGGAGCAGGUUUGCUGAACGGAUGUUGGCGUAUUUGACAAAGAUGAGGUUCAUCACUUUUUUAAUGUUAUUCCAAGCACUUCCUAAGCUUUUGCUGUUAAUUACUUAAAUAUUUGUUUGCUUUAUACACAUAACUAAGUUUCUU